CCAGACUCCUACGGGAGGCAGCAGUGGGGAAUAUUGCACAAUGGGCGCAAGCCUGAUGCAGCCAUGCCGCGUGUAUGAAGAAGGCCUUCGGGUUGUAAAGUACUUUCAGCGGGGAGGAAGGCGAUAAGGUUAAUAACCUUGUCGAUUGACGUUACCCGCAGAAGAAGCACCGGCUAACUCCGUGCCAGCAGCCGCGGCAAUACGGAGGGUGCAAGCGUUAAUCGGAAUUACUGGGCGUAAAGCGCACGCAGGCCGUCUGGCAAGACGGAUGGUAAAUCCCCGGGCUCAAACUGGGAACUGCAUUCGAAACUGGCAGGCUGGAGGCUUGGAGAGGGGGGGAGAAUUCCAGGUGUAGCGGUGAAAUGCGUAGAGAUCUGGAGGAAUUCCGGUGGGGAAGGCGGCCCCCUGGACAAAGACUGACGCUCAGGUGCGAAAGCGUGGGGAGCAAACAGGAUUAGAUACCCUGGUAA
rnacentral:rRNA from 1 species